rnacentral:rRNA from 1 species
UAUGAACGCUAGCUACAGGCUUAACACAUGCAAGUCGAGGGACCGGCGCAGGGGAGAGUAACCCGUAUCCAACCUGCACUUUCCUCGGGGAUAGCCUUUCGAAAUAACGAUUACUACCUCAUAUAACGGAUCGGGAUGCGUUCCAUUAGGUUGUUGGUGAGGUAACGGCCCAUCCAGCCUUCGAUGGCUAGGGGUUCGGAGAGGAAGGUCCCCCACAUUGGAACGGAGACACGGUCCAAACUCCUACGGGAGGCAGCAGUGAGGAAUAUUUGUCAAGGGGCGCUAGCCUGAACCUGCCAAGUAGCGUGAAGGAUGAAGGCUUAUGGGUGUUAAACUUCUUUUAUAUAAGAAUAUUUAUUAUAUGAAUAAGGAACGGCUAACUCCGUGCCAGCCGCCGCGGUAAUAC